rnacentral:rRNA from 1 species
AACCAACCUACCCUCGAGAUCGGAAUAACCACCGGAAACGGUGGGUAAUGCCGGAUAGUCCCCGCGGAAGGCAUCUUCUGCUGGGUAAACGGUGGCUUCACUGCUCGGGGAGGGGGUUGCGGCCUAUCAGCUUGUUGGUGGGGUAACGGCCUACCAAGGCUACGACGGGUAGCGGGUCUGAGAGGAUGAUCCGUCACACUGGGACUGAGAUACUGCCCAGACUCCUACGGGAGGCUGCAGUCGAGAAUCUUCCGCAAUGGGCGCAAGCCUGACGGAGCGACACCGCGUGCAGGAUGAAGGCCUUAGGGUUGUAAACUGCUGUCACGCUAUAGGAAAUCUUCGGAUUGACCAAAGCGAGAGGAAGCACCGGCUAACUCCGUGCCAGCAGCCGCGGUAAGACGGAGGGUGCAAACGUUGUUCGGAAUCACUGGGCAUAAAGAGCACGUAGGCGGCUGACUAAGUUGGAUGUGAAAGCCCUCGGCUCAACCGAGGAACUGCAUCCAAUACUGGUCAGCUUGAGGAUGGCAGGGGUGAGUGGAACUCCAGGUGGAGCGGUGAAAUGCGUAGAUAUCUGGAGGAACACCGGUGGCGAAAGCGGCUCACUGGGCCAUCUCUGACGCUGAGGUGCGAAAGCCAGGGGAGCAAACGGGAUUAGAUACCCCGGUAGUCCUGGCCGUAAACGAUGGGCACUAGGUAGGGGGAACUCCUAUGGUUCUCUCUGCCGUAGCUAAUGUGUUAAGUGCCCCGCCUGGGGAGUACGCUCGCAAGGGUAAAACUCAAAGGAAUUGACGGGGGAUCACACAAGCGGUGGAGCAUGUG